UCGCUAUCCCACAACCCCUGAGGUUUCACAUAGUAGUGCAGUGUGAACCAAAGCAAGACUGAGCGUGUCUGUAAAUAACUCUGAUCAUCAUUUCACUCCAUGUGGUUCUCUGGACUGACAGGUGAUCCUCUUAAACCUUGUCUGUGGUUACCCGGGGUCUGAGUACCAUGAAAGUCACCUUAAUCCCAGAAGGUCAUGCUGAAGAAGUAAAGAUACAGAGUUGCAGAAAGUAUUAAAAGAAAGGGCAAGGCUAAGGAGACAGUACUUGGUAUGAAAAUGGUAAUUGUACAUUCCAAAAUGAGCAGUUAAGUGGGAAAACCGUACACCCACUGUGAGCAGUAUGGUAGGUUUCUGACUCCAUUGAAAAUUUAAGCAAAAACAAAAAAACAAAAAAAACAAAAACAAAAAAAAGUUCUAUUUAACAGAGAUGUCAACUAUUCUGCUUUAGAUGGCUUAGAUAUAGUUUCUUAACAGGAUACAUAUACGCAUACAAUAUAAUAGAUCUCAUUCAGGUUUCAGAGUUUUAUAAUAUAGAGUUCUAUAUGAAAUCUAUCAUAAGUAACUUUGAGUGCUCCCAUUAAGACAGUAAUUUCUUUACCGAAGCAUUGCAUUAUUUUGACUAAGCACAAUUAGAUGACAAGUUUUUUAGAGCAUUUUAUAAAUCUUGUAUAGAAAUCUUUUAUCAGAACCUGUGUAUUAAGAGAAAGCAAUGUGACCCUUUUGCGAUCUGUGACUGGGAUAUUUUUCCCUCCAUCAUGGGUUGUAUGACUAAGAUAGGUUCUGUAGAUCAAAGCUUUCCCUGCCCUGAACUCAUGGGCAGCUCAGAGUUCCUCCUGUGGGAAAGACUGCCAGGAAAUAAAUCCAAAUCUAGUAAGAGUUGGCGGGUGGGGGUUGUUUUUAUGUCCACCCUAGGCCUGCCAUAGGCAAAUGAAUAUCACAAGUUCAUACAGGAGGGCACACGGAAGCUUUUCCUACAGUUCCUGUGAACAGCGUAGCAGCGCUUUCUGAUUUCAUAGCUGUAGAAUACAGUUUUCAGAAAGUUAGCUUGCUUUAUUCCUAACCCCUCGUGAAGCUUCGGGGUGCUUACCAAAAGGAGGCAGCCAUAAAAGCCUUUUAAAGGCUAGUCCUAAGUCCUUCCUGAAGCCAUGGAGCAAAGCCUGACCCAUCACUCUAACACAGCACGGGGUUUUAACUGUGGUAGCAAUACCUAUCACCACACAGCCACCAACGGCUCUGGACAGAAAGGACCAAUUGUAUUCUGAGGCCAGUGCCGCUUUCUCAUACAAGAUUAUGCCCAGUGCCCUCUGGAGGGAAAACACAUUAACCAGGGCACUUCAUGUUUUUUUGUUUUGUUAUGUUUUGUUGGUUUUUUGGUUUUUACUUCUUCUGUUGGAAGGGGGGUGGGGGAGGUUUGGUUUUUUGCUUUGUUUUUUUAAAAAUUAUUUUCUGUUUGUACAUGAUCCACCCUUUGUUUCCUAGAGUGUGCUUUAAAAAUCGCUUUGAAGCAAAUAAUAUUC
rnacentral:lncRNA from 1 species